rnacentral:piRNA from 1 species
UAGACCUGGAUAAGAGCUGCUCA